rnacentral:lncRNA from 1 species
GAUAAGAACAAUUCAACUAACUGAAAAUUUAUAAUGUGUUGAUGAAAUUUUUUAAUUCCCUUAUAGUACUUAAGGCAAACGUGAUUUUUACAUGUUUUAGCUGGUCAGAGUCAGGUUUGUGCCUCAUGACUGGAAUAUGAAUGUUUCAGGUGGAAACUUUUGUGGGAGGUCUCCAACACAAAAUUCUUUGCUUUUAUAUGGGCGAUUCUUUAUAAUGGACAAAGUGAACUCUGAGGAUCUGUUCCUGGAACUCUUUCUGGAUCCCAAGGCUUGUCAAUGCUUCCUUUCUCCUACUGGACUGUACUUUUGCCUUAAAUUUCUAAAUAAAUAUGAUCACAGAUCUUCUGAAUAAUUUUAUUAACCAACUUAUCCAACAGUACUAACAGAAUCAUGUGUGUUUUGUAUUUUCUUCUUAAUUCUCUUGUCAGUCACCCCUGUAGUCUUGCCAAUAUGCUUGCACCUCAUUUUUUAAAAUGUAUUUGUUUAUUUGAAAAGCAGAAGUAGAGGCAGAGUUAGAGAAAGAGAGAGAGGUUUUCCACCUGCUGGUCAAUCCUCAAAUGGAUGCAAUGGUCAGAGCUGAACCUGUCAAAAACUAGGAGGCAGGAGCUUCUUCUAGGUCUCACAUACUGGUACAGGUUCCCAAAGACUUGGGCCAUCUUAUUCCCGUUUUCCCAGACCAUAGCAGAGAGCAGAUGGAAAAUGGAGUAACUAGGAUUUGAACUGGCCUCAUAUGGGAUUCUGGCACUGUAGGUGGCAGCUUUACCUGCUAAGCCACAGCACCAGCCUGCACCUCAGUUUUUAAAUUAAAUCAUAUCCAUUAGAUUGUUUUAUAGGAAAUGAUCUUAUAUGACCUAACUCCCCCUUCCCAUAUACCACAUCUAUUACUGUUACUUUUAUUAUUUUUUAAGAUUUAUUUAUUUAUUUGAAAGUCAGAGUUAAACAGAAUGAGGAGAGGCAGAGAGAGAGAGAGAGAGAGCGAGCGAGCUCUUCCAUCCAAUGGUUCACUCCCAAAUUUGACACAAUGGCUAGAGCUGCGCUGAUCUGAAUCCAGGAGCCAGGAGCUUCUUCCUGGUCUCCCAUGUGGCAGGGGCCCAAGGACUUGGGCCAUCCUCAACUGCCUUCCCUGUCCAAAACAGAGAGCUGGAUAGGAAGAGGAGCAGCCAAGACCAGAACUAUCGCCCAUAUGGGAUCCCAGCACUUUAGGCCAGGGCAUUAACCCUCUGUGCCACAGUUUUAUAUUUCUUAAUCUGCAAAUUAUAAACAAUAAUCUCAUUGCCACUAUGUUAGGG